rnacentral:rRNA from 1 species
GGUUAAGCGACUAAGUACACGGUGGAUGCCCGGCAGUCAGAGGCGAUGAAGGACGUGCUAAUCUGCGAAAAGCGUCGGUAAGGUGAUAUGAACCGUUAUAACCGGCGAUGUCCGAAUGGGGAAACCCAGUGUAAUUGUUGCACUAUCGUUAACUGAAUACAUAGGUUAACGAGGCGAACCGGGGAACUGAAACAUCUAAGUACCCCGAGGAAAAGAAAUCAACCGAGAUUCCCCAGUAGCGAGCGAACGGGGAGCAGCCCAGAGUCUGAAUCAGCUUGUGUGUUAGUGGAACGGUCCGACGGUACAGGGUGAUAGUCCCGUACACCAAAAUGCACAGGUUGUGAACUCGAAGAGUAGGGCGGGACACGUGGUAUCCUGUCUGAAUAUGGGGGACCAUCCUCCAAGGCUAAAUACUCCUGACUGACCGAUAGUGAACCAGUACCGUGAAAGGAACCCCGGCGAGGGGAGUGAAAAGAACCUGAAACCGUGUACGUACAAGCAGUGGGAGCACCUUCGGGUGUGACUGCGUACCUUUGUAUAAUGGGUCAGCGACUAUAUUCUGUAGCAAGGUUAACCGUAUAGGGGAGCCGCAGGAGUCUUAACUGGGCGUUAAGUUGCAGGGUAUAGACCCGAAACCCGGUGAUUCAUGGGCAGGUUGAAGGUAACACUAACUGGAGGACCGAACCGACUAAUGUUGAAAAUUAGCGGAUGACUUGUGGCUGGGGUGAAAGGCCAAUCAAACCGGGAGAUAGCUGGUUCUCCCGAAAGCUAUUUAGGUAGCGCCUCGUGAACUCAUCUUCGGGGUAGAGCACUGUUUUGGGGUCAUCCCGACUUACCAACCCGAUGCAAACUACGAAUACCGAAGAAUGUUAUCACGGGAGACACAGCGGGUGCUAACGUCCGUCGUGAAGAGGGAAACAACCCAGACCGCCAGCUAAGGUCCCAAGGGAAACGAUGUGGGAAGGCACAGACAGCCGUGAUGUUGGCUUAGAAGCAGCCAUCAUUUAAAGAAAGCGUAAUAGCUCACUGGUCGAGUCGGCCUGCGCGGAAGAUGUAACGGGGCUAAACCAUGCACCGAAGCUGCGGCGUAUGUUGUUGGGUAGGGGAGCGUUCUGUAAGCCUGCGAAGGUGUGCUGUGAGGCAUGCUGGAGGUAUCAGAAGUGCGAAUGCUGACAUAAGUAACGAUAAAGCGGGUGAAAAGCCCGCUCGCCGGAAGACCAAGGGUUCCUGUCCAACGUUAAUCGGGGCAGGGUGAGUCGACCCUAAGGCGAGGCCGAAAGGCGUAGUCGAUGGGAAACAGGUUAAUAUUCCUGUACUUGGUGUUACUGCGAAGGGGGACGGAGAAUAUGUUAGCCGGGCGACGGUUGUCCCGGUUUAAGCAUGUAGGCUGGUCCGUGCAAAUCCGGAUAAUCAAGGCUGAGGUGUGAUGACGAGGCACUACGGUGCUGAAGUAACAAAUGCCCUGCUUCCGUGAAAGCCUCUAAGCAUCAGGUAACAUCAAAUCGUACCCCAAACCGACACAGGUGGUCAGGUAGAGAAUACCAAGGCGCUUGAGAGAACUCGGGUGAAGGAACUAGGCAAAAUGGUGCCGUAACUUCGGGAGAAGGCACGCUGGUGUGUAGGUGAAGUCCCUGCGGGUGGAGCUGAGACCAGUCGAAGAUACCAGCUGGCUGCAACUGUUUAUUAAAAACACAGCACUGUGCAAACACGAAAGUGGACGUAUACGUGUGACGCCGCCCGGUGCCGGAAGGUUAAUUGAUAGGGCCUUGAUCGAAGCCCUGGUAAACGGCGGCCGUAACUAUAACGGUCCUAAGGUAGCGAAAUUCCUUGUCGGGUAAGUUCCGACCUGCACGAAUGGCGUAAUGAUGGCAGCUGUCUCCACCCGAGACUCAGUGAAAUUGAACUCGCUGUGAAGAUGCAGUGUACCCGCGGCAAGACGGAAGACCCCGUGAACCUUUACUAUAGCUUGACACUGAACAUUGAGCCUUGAUGUGUAGGAUAGGUGGGAGGUUUAGUCUGCGUGGAGCCAACCUUGAAAUACCACCCUAAUGUUUGAUGUUCUAACGUGGCCCCUUACCGGGGUUGCGGAGUGUAGUUUGACUGGGGCGGUCUCCUCCCAAAGCGUAAAGGAGCACGAAGGUUAGCUAAUCCCGGUCGGACAUCAGGAGGUUAGUGCAAUGGCAUAAGCUAGCUUGACUGCGAGCGUGACGGCGCGAGCAGGUGCGAAAGCAGGUCAUAGUGAUCCGGUGGUUCUGAAUGGAAGGGCCAUCGCUCAACGGAUAAAAGGUACCCGGGGAUAACAGGCUGAUACCGCCCAAGAGUUCAUAUCGACGGCGGUGUUUGGCACCUCGAUGUCGGCUCAUCACAUCCUCGGGCUGAAGUAGGUCCCAAGGGUAUGGCUGUUCGCCAUUUAAAGUGGUACGCGAGCUGGGUUUAGAACGUCGUGAGACAGUUCGGUCCCUAUCUGCCGUGGGCGCUGGAGAAUUGAGGGGGCUGCUCCUAGUACGAGAGGACCGGAGUGGACGCAUCACUGGUGUUCGGGUUGUCAUGCCAAUGGCACUGCCCGGUAGCUAAAUGCGGAAGAGGUGCUGAAAGCAUCUAAGCACGAAACUUGCCCCGAGAUGAGUUCUCCCUGAGACUUUAAGUCUCCUGAAGGAACGUUGAAGACGACGACGUUGAUAGGCCCGCGUGUAUGCGUUGAGCUAACCGGUACUAAUGAACCGUGAGGCUUAACCUU